rnacentral:rRNA from 1 species
AACGAACGCUGGCGGCAGGCCUAACACAUGCAAGUCGAGCGAGGACUUCGGUCCUAGCGGCGGACGGGUGAGAAACGCGUGGGAACGUGCCCUUUGCUUCGGAAUAGCCCUGGGAAACUGGGAGUAAUACCGGAUGAGUCCUUUGGGGGAAAGAUUUAUCGGCGAAGGAUCGGCCCGCGUUGGAUUAGGUAGUUGGUGGGGUAAUGGCCUGCCAAGCCGACGAUCCAUAGCUGGUUUGAGAGGAUGAUCAGCCACACUGGGACUGGGACACGGCCCAGACUCGUACGAGAGGCAGCAGUGGGGAAUCUUAGACAAGGGGGGAAACCCUGAUCUGGCCAUGCCGCGUGAGCGAUGAAGGCCUUAGGGUUGUAAAGCUCUAUCAGCUGGGAAGAUAAUGACGGUACCAGCAGAAGAAGCCCCGGCUAACUCCGUG